AUGGUUAAGUUAGAAAGGGCGCACGGUGAAUGCCUUGGCACUAGGAGCCGAAGAAGGACGGGACGAACACCGAUAUGCUUCGGGGAGCUGUAAGUAAGCUUUGAUCCGGAGAUUUCCGAAU
rnacentral:rRNA from 1 species